GAGAGAUUUAUAAAACACAAGGCUGGCCCCCUACUCCAUCCUUAAAACAUCCAUACUUUUAGCCAUGGGUAAGUUGAUUUAACUAUCCCCAUAACCUUUUCUCCUCCCGACCCCCAUCCUUCUCCAGGGACCUACUGGAAGGAAGGAAAUUUGGUAGAUCUAUGUGCUGAGAGAUAAGUGGCCAUGUAAUGAGGUAGGUUAACAACAAUUGUUCCUGUAUAUAUUGUUGGCACACACAAAUGUGUUUGAUUUGGAGUAGGAACUGAUAACUUCUUUGGAUUUGAAUUUCUUCUGUCAGCAAUAGGAGAGAAGUUCAGUCAGAUGAUUUCUAUCUGUGGGAAUCCAACUUUGACUUGUGGUGAUCCUACCCCUUCCUCAGUCUUUUACAAAUUAAGUGGCCUCCUCACCUGAGACGAGUAGAACUGUAUGCACAGUAAGGCACCAGGACGGAUCUAGACUGGCAAAGAAGUGGUGAGAGAAAUGGGGAAAGGGUUAGGGAAGAAGGGAGAGGACUCUCAACUACAGUCAUAGUGAGACCUUGAGUGCCUCUGCGUUAGUCCUUCCUCUUCCUCUACUCCUUGUGUCUCAGCUGAAGGGCAAACUUCAGGGACAAUCUCAUUUUGUUUCUACCACUGUUCAGGGUCCCACCUUGCGACCCUCUCCUGAGAGGUUGUCCACAACUCUGUCCCACCCCCGUUCUCCAUCUUCUUCCGCCAGAUCUGGGGCUGGGGCAUUGGAGAGGGGAAAGAGGAAACGUCGUGGCUGGCAGGGUAGGAAGGGAUGCGUGUCCAGGUGAGAAAGAGGUGUGACGUGCAGAUGGGAUGCCCGCCGCUAUGACGCUGCCGAGACCCGCGGUGACUGCGUCAGAGUUUCACCCGGGGAGGUGAGCAGCAGCGGGACGGGGGAACGGCGGGGUAGCCAAGCAACGCCGGACGCGCUGACGUCGCCGGGGCGGCAAAACGUCCGCCCGGGCCCGAGGCGGGCGGAGGCAGCUGUGGUUACGUGCGGGGGGCCGGUGACGCAGUCGCGGGGCGCUGGGACGCGGCUUGCGGAGCCGGCCGGCGAGCGCAGGCCCCAGGCUCGGGCGCGGCGGCGGGACAGCACCUACCUUCCCGGCUUCGGGUCCGGGAGUGCGGGGCGCGGAGCCGCCGGAGCGCUGCCUCCCUCCUUCCUCCUCCCCUCGCCCCCGCCCCGCGGCGCGACACACAAUACUCGCCGGAAGCGGAAGCCGCGCCGAGGCUCGUGUCAGUGGAAGCUGGGGUGUCGGCGGGCGGCCGCGGCCGGGUCUAGCGGUGCCUGCGGAAGAAGGAGGAGGAGGGCUGGCGAUGAGAAGCAGCAGGGGGAAUCAAGGGCAAGAAGGGACCCAGAGGGGCAGGUGGCUGAGAUGCUGGCGUCCAGGUGACCCGAGGAAUCCUCUGGAGAUACAGGCCCGCGCAUGCGCGUGCUCGAGCGCUGAAGCCCAUUGCCCGCAGGGCGCUGGACUGGCGCCCCGGCCGGCGAGGCUGUCUAGUCCAGGCUCCAGGCCCCGGCUCUGGCCAGGCGCCGCCGCCUCCCGGUGCAGCUGAAAGUCGACGAAGAGGGCGGGGCGGGGGCGGCUUGUGGACUUCCACACUUUUCCUCUCUUCGGGCCAGUCUGGGGAGAGGGUGGCUAGCUGUGGCGGCGGCCAAUUACGUGGCGGACCUGCGGGGCUAAGCUGGCACGUCACUUCCGACUAGUGGAGUUUUUAGCCUUUUAACAUUCAAGGAUUAGAGCUCCCUCUUUGCCCACUAGCAGGGCAUUAGCUGGUGCUGAAGACAGUGGCUGCUUGGCGAGCCUGGAUCUCCAAGUGACCCCCUCAGCAACUCCUGAUGAACAGGACUGAAGCCAAUAUUAAAGCAAGUCAACCAAAGGUUCUCUGGUGUAGACAAGACAGCAAAAGGACAGACUACCUUGUGGAACCUAGCAUUGUUCUCCUUCUGCAGCACUAAGUAACAUUUGUUCUCCGUUAAGAUCUUUGCAAACCACACACAAGAAUUGCUGGUCAUCCUGCCAAUAGAUGCUGCUCACAGAACCAAAUUUCCUGUGCUGAAUUGUCACUCAUGGGCUUGAGAGUAGGAGACUGGAGACCAAGGUGGCUAGAAUCCAGUUGGGCCUGAUGUCUCCCUGUUGAAAGGGCUCCUUGUGGAAUGAAUAGCACAUGGCUCCUGUGGUGGAUCUGAUAGUGGCAUAGCACCAAGUGAUGCAGGCCUGCCAGGGGCCACAGACACAGAAGAUGCUCCCGGGGUCCCCCAUGUACUCCAGACACACUGCAGGCCACCUCUCCCAGCAGGUUGCCAGUCAUGGGCCCCAUCAUCAUGACUUCUGUCCAAGGUACUGUGUGCAGAAAUGUGAUUGAGAUUCAAGUCAGGGCCUCUCUGCCCUUUUCCCUCCAGAAACAAAACCAAGAUAAUUUAUCCUGAACACGGUGAAAAAAGGAAGGGAGGGAGGAGAAAAAGUCCGGGUCUCACCUGGGAUUCUCUGUCUCCUGCAACAUGAAGGAUUUAGCCUGGGAGGAGGUGGUGAGAACUCUGGGAGAGAAAAAAGAAGGAAAGAAUAGUUUUACCCAUGCUGAAGUUAAUUUAAACCUUCACCUAGAGAAGCAAAAAAAAAAAACCCACACUUUCCCAUUUUGUGCCUCCCUUCCUAGAGUUUUAGCCAAAGGUUUAGCUAAGUAAUUGGUUUUACCAGCGCACUCACUCCUCCUAUCCCAAGUCUGUUUGACUCCCUCCCCAUCAUCCUCCUCACCUCUUUUCAGGCAGGGUGGGGAUAGCAGCAGGAGGAGAUUUUGGGAGCCUGGCAACUCCUGCAAGGACCGCAGGACAGCCCCUCUGUGGGGAUGCGUGGUGCCCCAUCUGCCGCCCUUCUGAAGAAUGCACUGCCUUCACUUUUUACUGUGUUAGAGUCCAUCCAGACUGUUCUAUCCAAAAAAGUUUCUUUUUCCCCCACAGGCAAUCAGGAAAUGAUUCCUUUCCCGACUGCUUCUGUCUAGUGCCUGGGAAUCUUGAGUCAAUCCCUCAGUAAGUCAGUGACUAGGGAAAUCCCUCUCUGAGCCUCCCAGUUCAUGUUGCUUAGGGAACCUGAUAUUUUCGUGAAACCUGCCUACACAUGGGCAGCCCAACAGCAGAACAAAUGGUGGUGACCAAAGUGAACAAAGAAGUAUAGUUGUGCCAGCUUCGUAGUUGCCCAUGUGGACAAGUCAGCAGGAUCAGGACACGAGGAAGAGUAAAUGUGAGACAGUCAAUGUGACUUCUGCGAUAAACAGAUUUUUAAACCCCGAAAUUUUGCAAAAUUUUGGUGAAACCUGAACUUUCUUCGUUGCAUAUACUGGCACUAUCUGUACCAUCAUACAACUGUCUCACAUUAAAGCUAUUUUUCUUGGGCACUGAUGAGUAAGGUUGGUAUAAGUUCCUCAGAUCAACAAAAACCCAUUUUCCUGUAAGUCUUACAUUUAGUAUUUAAGGAACUAAAACUUAAAUACAUUUUGUGAAAUGGUUGACACUUCACUGAUAAUGAUUUAUUGCUUGGAUUAAUAAAUUUUCCAAAAGUUGUCUUAUGUAGAAUAUGGUUUGCAACCAGCAGAACCAUUAAUCUAUACUGCAAUGAUAUGCACUAUGUAUAAUUGUUUAAAAGCCUCUACUUAAUGAUGUAAAAUGCUCUAUUUAAUUACACAUUUGGGUAAACUGUAUACUAACAUCUGAUGGCAUUUUUCCACUGUUUGUUGCUUUUUUCAAAUACUUUAUUGUACAAAGCUGUUCUUAAUAUUUUUCAAGUUUUUUUCUUUGAAUUUUGCUAAUGUUUUCCUUGAAUUAUGAGCACUGACAGAAUGUGCUUAGCACUUUUGGCUAUUCACACAGCUUUUGAGCAUGAUUUGCAUCCAAUAUUUACAUUGCUAGCAAUAAUAAGCCAUCUGUGAGUUUUGUCAAAAGUUAUUGGGGAUUUUUUAAAUUUUAGAAAUGCAAAUUAUUGUUUCUUUGAACUAACUCUUAUGCAGUUGCAAAGGCAUUUCCAGUUGUUAUAGUUUGUGUACAAUAUCAGGUGUUCCAGAUUAUGAUUCAUUAUUAAUAUCAUUGCUUCCUUGUUCCCUCUGAGGUCCAGAAGAUUCAUGUUUACAAUAUUUAGAAACAAUGUUAAAAAGGUAUCCAAAGUUUGUCACUUUAUUAUUAGUUUGUUCUUAAUAUUCUGUUUAAGUUUUUGAAUUCAUAGAUAUCAAAACGCUGCACAAUUAUGAUUUCCACAGGAAUAACAACACACUAACAAUAAGAACCAAAAACAGCAAAUAGGCUGCCUACAAGUUUUGACAAUAUUAGGAUAAUGAUAAUGACAGUUUUUCUAAAUCUCACAGUAAAGAAUGCAGCAACCCAGCAACACUGCUACCUGUGGCCUCAGGCUGCAGUGUCAGCUCUUCCCUGGGUCUCCAGCCUGCCAGUCUAACCUGAAAAUUAUGUACUUGCCAGCCCCCACAGUCACGUGAGUGAACUGGCCCAGGCUGGUCACCAGGGUCAGUUUCUCUGUGUGUCAUUAAUUCAUUCAGUCUUCAGCAGUCUCUUUGGAGCUGAGAUGUACCUACCAUCUGCCUUUUGGGUGCUUAGGGUGGAGAACCAGAAAAGUAUAACCUAGUGUGUAUCCUCAAAGAGCUAACAAUAUGGGGUGGUACCUAUAGGUCUGGAAACACUUUACUGACUCUGUGAGGCAUACCAGGAGACGUCAGAGAACAGUCCCUCCUCAAAUGCCAAAUGAGAUGCAGAAGAAAUAGUUUGCUCAAGUUCAUGGGCCAGAUAUCCCAGUGGUCAGGGAGUUUCAUGAAUGAGAUGGAACUUUGCAUGGAACCCGAGGGAUGUGUAUGAUUUGAGUAGAUGAAGAAAAUGAGACUUUCCAAGCAGCUAGAAGUUAGGGAGCAGCAAGAUGUGUGGUGGGAUUGAGCACAGUUGGUUCAGAGGAUAGACUGCAGUUUUAAUAAUUUGUAGUAAAUAUCUCCCAACUGUUUGGCACUAUUGGAGCAAGUUCUUGAAUGCCAAAUGAAGGCAUAAAUCAGUAAGAGGCAUAAUAAAAGGCUGAGCAGUGCUUGGCUUUUUACGAACUGAUCCUGAUAGGAGCAGCUGUUCAACAAAGUUGCCAGGUCACCGUUACAUAGUCCCUGCCUUCUAGGGGCUCACUGCCUACUGGGAGAGACAGUCUGAAAGUUGGUGGAGCAUGUAACUGUUGGAUGAGGAGUUUGAGCCUGUGGACUGUGGGACCCCCGAGGAGGGUGUGGCUACUCUAGGCAGAACAAUCCCACAGUUUAUUUAUAUUUAACCUUGAAAUUCAUUAGAGGAUUUUUCAGCAGAGGUUUGGUACUUGUUAAUGUUAAGGUUUGCAUUCUCUAGAACCUCAAGGAAAGCUGUACCGUGCAUAAUGUACCCUCUUAUGUUAAUGUUGUGUACUGUGAUCCUGUUUCAGGGACUUGCACUUAGGAAUCUGUUACAGUGAGCACAGAAGCAGACCUGUGGGCUCAUAGUCUUCACCCCCCACCCAUAUAUACAAGAUGAACAGAGUGGAGGUUAAACAACUUGACUAAACAACACAGUUCAUGGUAAAGCCCAAGACUGUACCUGCCCAUCCACUGCCUUUUCCAUGUAUCCUGGAACUGAGCAUAGACCUCUUCCCAGGCAGAGCUGACAGCAAGUAAAGGAGAUCAUAAUCAGGGGACCAAACAACUUUGUCUAAAGUGUGAAUGUCACCUAAGGAGAAGCUGUGAGAUCAGAAGGGUGGGGCAGAGGAGCAGACACCAUGAGGGAGAGUCCUUGGGGGUACAUCUGCCAGACUGACACUGUCUGGCCUGGGCAGUGGAGGGGCUAGCAGGAACCACAGGUACUGGUGGUGUGGCUACUACCGUUACAACUGCCUGUGCUUGGACAUGGACCCUCUGCAAUAUGCGGCAGUUUCAUUCAUUGCCCCCUACAUUCUACACCAAGUAGAAAUGGAAGGCAAUUGGAUACUUCACAGACAAGAUCUAAGUGGAGAAGGAAUGCGUCCUGUGGCUGCAGAGAUCCUUGGAGCUUGGAGGGGAGAGCUUGAGCCCCACUGAUGAUGACCUCCCACAGCUCGCCAACUCAGCCCUCCCUAAGUCCCCAUCGGGGGCCAAUUCUCACUCUGGGGUUGGGGGGACUCCACCAUAGCUCAUCCAUCAUAGGGAUGUUGGUAUCUACUGUGGGUUGGGUAGGGCCGAUGUGCUGAGGAUGGCUCCCCCACAAGCAAGAGAUGUGGAUUUGGGGAGCUUCCCAUCUUGUGUUGAAGGAACAUAACUCAGAAUAAUAAGAGCCAACUAUAACAAACCCACAGCCAACAUCAUACUGAAUGGGCAAAAGCUGCAGGCAUUCCCCUUGAAAAGUGGCACAGGAUAAGGAAGCCCUUUCUCACCACUCCUAUUCAAUAUAGUGUUGAAAGUCCUGAUCACAGCAGUCAGGCAACAGAAAUAAUAAAGGGCAUCCAAAUAGGAAGAGAGGAAGUCAAACUAUCCUUGUUUGCAGACAGUAUGAUUCUAUAUCUAGAAAACCCCAUAGCCUCAGCCCAAAAGGUCCUUCAUCUGAUAAUUUCAGCAAAGUUUCAGGAGACAAAAUCAGUGUACAAAAAUCACUAACAUUCCUAUACACAGUCGCCAAGCCAAGAGCCAAAUCAGGAGCACAAUCCCAUUCAUAAUUGCCACAAAAAAGAAUAAAAUACCCAGGAAUGCAGCUAACCAAGGAAGUAAAGGAUCUCUACAAUGAGAAUCACAAACGCUGCUCAAAGAAAUCAGAGAUGACACAAACAAAUGGAAAAACUUUCCAUGCUCAUGGCUAGGAAGAAUCAAUAUCAUUAAAGUGGCCAUACUACCCAAAGCAAUUUAUAGAUUCAAUGCUAUUCCUAUCAAACUAUCAAUUACAUUUUUCACAGAACUAGAAAAAACUUAAAAUUCAUAUGGAACCAAAAAGCCUGAGUAGUCAAGGCAAUCCUAAACAAAAAGAACAAAGGUGGAGGCAUCACAUUACCUAACUUCAAACUACAGGGCUACCAUGACCAAAACAGCAUGGUACUGGUACAAAAGCAGACACACAGACCAGUGGGACAGAAUAGAGAGCCCAAAAAUAAGGCCACAAACCUACAGCCAUCUGAUCUUCAACAAAGUUGACAAAAACAAGCAAUGGGGAAAGGUCUCCCUAUUCAAUAAAUGGUGCUGGGAUAACUGGCUGGCCAUAUGCAGAAGAUCGUAACUGGACCCCUUUUACUAUGUACAAAAAUUAAGAUGGUUUAAAGAGUUAAAACCCAAAAUUAUAAAAAUCCUGAAGAUAACUUAGGCAAUACCAUUCUGGACAUAGGAACUGGCAAAUAUUUCAUGAUGAAGACACCAAAAGCAAUUGUAACAAAAGCAAAAAUGGACAAAUUGGAUUUAAGAGCUUUUUCAUAGCAAAAUAAACAACAGGGCAGACAAUCUACCAAAUGACAGAAAAUUUUUGCAAACUAUGCAUCUGACAAGGGGCUAAUAUCUAGCAUCUAUAAGGAAUUUAAACACAGUUACAGGAAAAAAAAAACCCACUCCAUUAAAAAAUGGGCAAAGGACAUGAACAGACACUUUUCAAAAAAGACAUACAUACAGCCAACUAGCGUGUUAAAGAAAACCUCAAUUAUCACUGAUCAUUAGAGAAAUGCAAAAUCAAAACCAUGAUGAGAUAUCAUCUGCCAGUCAGGAUGGCUACAAAAAAGUAAAAAAAUAAUAGAUGUUGGUGAGGUUAUGGAGAAAAGGAACUUAUACACUUGUUAGGAGUGUAAAUUAGUUCAAUCACUGUGGACAGCAGUGUGGUGAUUCCUCAGAGAGCUAAAAACAACUACCAUUUGACUCACCAAUCCCAUUACUGGAUAUUUACCUAAAGGAAUAUAAAUCAUUCCACCAUAAAGACACAUGCAAGUGUAUGUUCAUUGCAGCACUAUUAACAGUAACAAAGCUGGGCACAGUGGCUCACCUCACGACUGUAAUCCCAGCACUUUGGGAGGCUGAGGUAGGCGGAUCACCUGAGGUCGGCAGUUUGAGACCAGCCUGACCAACAUGGAGAGACCCCAUCUCUACUAAAAAUACAAAAUUAGCCAGGUGUGGUGGCUCAUGCCUGUAAUCCCAGCUACUUGGGAGGCCAAGGCAGGAGAAUUGCUUGAACCCAGGAGGCAGAGGUUGCAGUGAGCCGAGAUCACACCAUUGCACUCUAGCCUGGUGAAGGAGCAAGACUCCAUCUCAAAAAAAAAAAAAAAAAAGAAAGAAAGAAAAAUACACAUUCAGAGGAGACAAAAAAUAAAAAACAAUGAUGCAUGCCCACAGGAUCUAGAAAAUAACUUCUUAAGGGCAAAUCUAGGAGUUAUUGGCCUUAAAGAAGAGAUAGAGAAAGAGAUAGGAAUAGAAAGUUUGUUGAAAGGGAUAAUAACAUAGAACUUCCUAAACCUACAGAAAGAUAUUUAUAUCCAAGUACAAGAAGGUUAUAGAACACCAGGCCAAUUUAACCCAAAGAUUACCUCAAGGCAUUUAAUAAUCAAACUCCCACAGGACAAGGGUAAAGAAAGGAUCCUAAAAGCAGCAAGAGAAAAGAAACAGAUAACAUACAAUGGAGCUCCAAUACAUCUGGCAGUAUAUUUUUCAGUGGAAACCUUACAAGCCAGGAGAGAGUGACAUGACAUAUGUUAAAGUGCUGAAGGGAAAAAACCUUUUACCCUAGAAUAGUAUAUCCAGCAAAAAUAUCCUUCAAACAUGAAGAAUAAACAAAGACUUCCCCAGACAAACAAAAGCUGAGGGAUUUCAUCAACACUAGACUGGUCCCAUAAGAAACGCUUAAGGGAGUACUUUGGUCAGAAAGAAACAGACAUUAAUGAGCAACAAAGAAUCAUCUAAAGGUAAAAAACUCACUGUUAAGAGUAAGUACACAGAAAAACCCAAAGUGUGAUAACAUUGUAACUGUGGUGUGUAAGUAGAAAGAAUAAAUGAUAAACCAAUCAAAAAUAGUAACUACAACUUUUCAAGACCAGUCAGAAAAAUAAGAUAAAAUUAGAAACAACAAAAAGUUAAAAAGUGGGGGGAUGAAGUUAAGAUGUAGAGUUUUUAUUAGUUUUUUGUUUGUUAAUGCAAACAGUGUUACCAGGUUAAAAUAAUGGGUUACAAAAUAGUAUUUGUAAUCCUUAUGGUAACCUCAAACCUAAAAACAUACACUGGAUACAUAAAAAAUAAAAAGCAAAAACCUAAAUCAUAUCACCAGAGCAAACUACCUUCCCUAAAGGAAGACAGGAAGAAAAGAAAGAAGAAGACCACAAAACAACCAGAAAACAAAUAAAUAACAAGGCAGGAGUAAGUCUUUACUUAUCGAUAAUACAUUGAAUGGAAAUAUGGACUAAACUCUCCAAUCAAAAGACAUAGACUGGCUGAAUGAAUGGAGAAAACAAGACCCAUUGAUCUGUUGCCUACAAGAAACACACUUAAACUAUAAAGACACACAUAGGCUGAAAGUAAAGAGUUGGAAAGAGUUAUUCCAUGCCAAUGGAAACCAGGAAAAAGAGAAGGAGUAUUGAUUUUGAUACAAAAACUAUGAGACAAAUAAAGUCACUAUACAAUGAUAAAGGGGUUAAUAUGGUUUCCAUUUGUGCCCCACCCAAAUUUCGUGUUCUAUUGUAAUCCUCAAUGUUGGAGGUGGGGCCUGGUGGGACGUGAUUAGAUCAUGGGGGUGGAUCUUUCAUGACUAAUUCAGCACCAUCUUCUUAGUGCUGUUCUCAUGAUAGUGAGUUCUUCUGAAAUCUGGUUGCUUAAAAGUGUGUAGCACCUCUCCACACCACCCGCUUGCCUUGGUCUACUCCUGCUAUGUAGAUGCUUGCUCCCACUUUGCAUUAUUCCAUGAGUAAAAGCUCCCUCAGGCCUUCCCAGAAUCAGAUGCCGCUAUGCUUCCUGAACAGCCUGUGGAACUAUGAGCCAAUUCAACCUCUUUUCUUCAUAAAUUAACAAGUCUUGGGUAUUUCUUUAUAGCAGUGUGAGAACAGAAUAAUACAGAAAAUUGGUAAAGAGGAGUGAGGCAUUGCUAGAAAGAUACCUGAAAAUGUGGAAACAGCAGUGGAACUGGGAAAUAGACAGAGGUUGGAAGAGUGUGGAGGGCUCCGAAGAUAGGAAGAUGAGGGGAAGUUUGGAAUUUCUUAGAGAUUUGUUAAAUUGUUUUGACCAAAAUACUGAUGGUGAUAUGGACAAUGAAGUCCAGGCUGAGGAGGUCUCAGAUGGAGAUGAGGGACUUAUUGGGACCUGGAGUGAAGGUCACUUUUGUUAGGACAUUGUGGUUGGAGACAUUGUGCCCCUGCCCUAGGAAUCUGUGGAACUUUGAACUUGAGAGCGAAGAUUUAGGGUAUCUGGCAGAAGAAAUUUCUAAGCAGCAAAGCGUUCAAGACGUGGCCUGGCUGCUUCUGGUAGUCUGUGCUCAUAUUUGUGAGCAAAGACAUGACAAGAAACUGGAACUUAUAUUUAAAAAGGAAGCAGAGUGUAAAAGUUUGGAGAAUUUGCAGCCUGGCCAUGUUGUAGAAAAGAAAAAAACCAUUUUCUGGAGAGGAAUUCAAGCUAGCUGCAGAAAAUUGCAAGUAACAAGGAGCAAAAUGUUGAUAGCCAAGAUAGUGGGAAAAACACCUUGAAGGCAUUUCAGAUACCUUGGGGGCAGCCUCUCCCAUCACAGGCCCAAAGGCCUAGGAGGGAAGGAUGGUUUCCUGGGCCAGGCUCAGGGUCCUGCUGCCCUGCACAACCUCAGGAAACUGCUCUCCAAAUCCCAGCUGCUCCAGCUCCAGCUUCAGCUCAAAGGGCCCCAGGUAUAGCUCAGGCUGCUGCUCCAUAGGAUGCAAGUUAUAAGCCUUAGUGGCUCCCGUGUGGUGUUAAAUUAAGCCUGUAGGUGCACAGAGUGCAAGAAUUGAGGCUUGGGAGCCUCCAACUAGAUUUCAGAGUAUGUGUGGGAAAGCCUGGAUGUCCAGGCAGAAGCCAGCUGCAGGGACAGAGCCCUCAUGGAGAACCUCUACUAGGGUAGUGUGGAGGGGAAAUUUGGGGUUGGAGUUCCCACACAGCUUCCCCUCUGGUGUACUGCCUAGUGGAGCUGUGAGAAGACAGCCACUGUCCUCCAGAUUCCAGGAUGAUAGAUCUGCCAAUGACAGCUUGCACUGUACAACUGGAAAAGCCACAGGCAGUCAAUGCCAGCCCGUGAAAGCAGUGACAGUGGCUUACCCUGCAAAGUCCCAGGGGCUGAGCUGCCCAAGGCCUUGGGAGCCCACCCCUUGCACCAGUGUGCCCUGGAUGUGAGAUAUGGAGUCAAAGGAGAGUAUUUUGGAGCUUUAAGAUUUAAUGACUACCUGCUGGGUUUCAGACUUGCAUGGGUCCAGUAGCCCCUUUCUUUUGGCCAAUUUCUCACUUUUGGAAUGGGAGUGUUUACCCAAUUCCUGUACCCCCACUGUAUGUUGGAAGUAACUAACUGUUUUUUUAUUUUGUAAGCUCACAGGUGGGAGAGACUUGCCUUGUCUCAGGUUGAGACUCUGGACUUUGGACUUUUGAAUUAAUGCUGGAAUGAGUUAAGACUUUGAGGGACUGUUGGGAAGAUAUAACUGUAUUUUGCAGUAUGAGAAGGACAUGAGAUUUGGGAGACACCAGAGGUGGAAUAAUAUGAUUUGGAUCUGCAUCCCCACCAAAAUCUCAUGUUCAAUUGUAAUCCUAAAUUUUGGAGGUUGAGCCUGGUGGAAGAGGAUUGGAUAAUGGGGGUGGUUUCUCAUGGUUUAACACCAUCCCCCUGGGUGCUGUUCUCAUGACAGUGAGUGAGUUAUUGUGAGAUCUGAUUGUUUAAAAGUGUGUGCCACCUCCUCCCACUUUCCUCCUGCUCCAGCCAUGUAAGACAGGCUUGCCUCCCCUUCACCUUUUGUCAUGAUUGUAAGUGUUCUGAGGCCUCCCCAGCCAUGCUUCCUGUACAGCCUGCAGAACUGUGAGCCAAUUAAACCUCUUUUCUCUAUAUAUUACCCAGUCUCGGGUAUUUCUUUAUAGCAGUGCAAGAAUAGACUAAUACAGGGUUCAAUUCAGCAAGAGGAUAUAACAAAUAUAAAUAUAUAUGCACUCAACACUGCAGCACCCAGAUAUAUAAAGCAAAUACGAUUAGAGCUAAAGAGAGAGAGUGACCCCAAUACAAUAAUAGCUGGAGACUUCAACACCACAUUUUCAGCACUGGACAGAUCUUCCAGACAGAAAAUAAAAAAGAAACAUCAGACUUAAUCUGCACUGUAGAUCAAAUGGAUCUAAUACAUACUUGCAGAACAUUUUAUCCAAUGGCUGCAGAAUACACAUUCUUUUUUAGCACAUGUAUCAUUCUCAAGGAUAGACCAUAUGUUAGGUCACAAGUCUUAAAACAUUAAAAAAGUUGAAUACCAUCAAGCAUCUUCUCUGACCACAGUGGAAUACAACUAGAAACUAAUAACAAGAGGAAUUUUUGAAACUACAAAUACAUGAAAAUUAAACAAUAUGCUCCUGAAUGACCAUUGAGUCAAUGAAGAAAUUAAGAAGGAAAUUGAACAAUUUCUUGAAACAAAUGAUAAAGGAAACACAACAUACCAAAACCUAUGGGAUACGGCAAAAGCAGUACUAAGAGGCAAAUUGAUAGCUAUAAGUGCCUACAUGAAAAAAGAGGAAAAACUUCAAAUAAGCAAUUUAACAAUGAACCUUAACCAGAAAAGCAAGAGCAAAACAAACACAAAAUUAGAAGAAAACAAAUAAUAAAAAUUAGAGCAUAAAUAAAUAAAAUUGAAAUAAAAAUCAAUGCAAAAGAACAAUGAAACAAAAAGUUGCUUUUUUUCAAAAGUUAAACAAAACUGACAAGCCUUUAGCAAGACUGAGAAAAAAGAGACAAGAUACAAAUCAGAAAUGAAAAAGACAUUACAACUGACACUGCAGAAAUUCAAAGGAUCAUUAGGGGCUACUAUGAGCAACUCUAUGCCAAUAAAUUGGAAAAUCUAGAAGAAAUUGACAAUUCCUAGACACAUACAACCUACUGAGACUGGACCAGGAAGAAAUCCAAAACCUGAACAGACUAAUAACAAGUAACAAGGUUGAAGCCAUAAUAAAAAGUCUCCCACUAAAGAAAACCAAGGACCCGAUGGCUUCACUGUUGAAUUCUACCAAACAUUUAAAGAAGAACUAAUACCAAUCCCACUCAAGCUAUUGAAAAAUAGAGGAGGAGAGAAUAUUUCCAAAGUCAUUCUAGGAGACCAGUAUCACCCUGAUACCAAAACCAGACAAAGACACAUCAAAAAAAGAAAACUGCUGGCCAAUUUCUCUGAUGAAUAUUGAUGCCAGAAUCCUCAGCAAAAUAUUAGCAAACUAAAUUCAACAAUACAUUAAAAAGAUCAUUCAUCAGGGUCGGGUGCAGUGGCUUAAGCCUCUAAUCCCAGCACUUUGGGAGGCCGAGGUGGGCAGAUCACCUGAGGUCAGGAGUUCAAGACCAGCCUGACCAACAUGGUGAAACCUCGUCUCUACUGAAAAUACAAAAUUAGCCGAGUGUGGUGGUGCAUGCCUGUAAUCCCAGCUACUCAGGAGACUGAGGCAGGAGAAUCACUUGAACCCAGGAGGUGGAGGUUGCAGUGAGCUGAGAUUGUGGCACUGCACUCCAGCCUUGGUGACAGAGUGAGACUCCAUUAAAAAAAAAAUCAUUUAUCAUGACCAAGUGGGAUUUAUCCCUGGAAUGCAAGGAUGGUUCAACACAUGCAAAUCAAUCAAUGUAAUACAUCAUAUCAAAAAGAAUGAUUAAAACCAUAUGAUUAUUUCUAUUGAUGCUGAAAAAGUAGUUUAUAAAAUCCAACAUCCCUUCAUGAUAAAAACCCUCAAAAAACUGUAUAAAAGAAAUAUACCUCAACGUAAUAGCCAGAUAUGACAGACCCACAGCUAGUAUCAUACUGAAUGGGGAAAAAGUGAAAGACUUUCCUAUAAGAUCUGGAACACAACAGGGAUGUUCACUGUCACCACUGUUAUUCAACAAAGUACUGGAUGUUCUAGCUAGAGCGAUCAGACAAGAGAAGAUAUAAAGGCCAUCCAAACUGGAAAGGGAGAAGUUAAAUUACCCUAGUUUGCAGAUGAUAUGAACUUAUAUUUGGAAAAAACCUAAAGGCUCCACAGGAAAACUAUUAGAAUCAAUAAAUUCAGUAAAGUUGCAGGACACAAAAUCAACAUAUAAAAACCAGUAGCAUUUCUAUAUGUCAACAGUGAACAAUUUGAAAAAUUUUAAAUUUAAGAAGGUAAUUUCAUUUACAAUAGCCACACAUAAAAUUAAAUACCUAGGAAUUAACCAAAAAUGUGCAAGAUAUCUAUGAGGAGAAUUAUAAAACAUUGAUGAAAGAAAUUGAAGAGGACACAAAAAAAAUGGAAAAAAUUCCAUCUUUAUGGAUUGGAAGAAUCAAUAUUGUUAAAAUGUCCAUACUACCCAAAGCAAUCUACAGAUUUAAUGCAAUCCCUAUCAAAAUACCAAUAAUAGUCUUCAGAGAAAUAGAAAAAAAAAUCCCAAAAUUUAUAUGAAAACACAGAAUGCCCAGAAUAGCCAAAAUUAUAUUAAGCAAAAAGAUCAAAACUGGAGGAAUCACAUUACCUGACUUCAAAUUAUGCUACAGAGCUAUAAUCACCAAAACAGCAUGGUACUGACAUAAAAACAGACACAUAGUCCAACAGAACAGAAUAGAGAACCUAGAAACAAAUCCACACACUCACAGGGAACUCAUUUUUGACAGAGUUGCCAAGUACUUAUACUGGAGAAAAGAAAAGACAGUCUCUUCAAUGAAAUGGUGCUGGGAAAACUGGAUAUCCAUAUGCAGAAGAAUGAAACUAGACCCCUACCUCUCACUGUAGACAAAAGUCAAAUCAAGGCUAGGCAUGGUGGCUUACACCUGUAAUCUCAGCACUUUGGGAGGCUGAGGCAGGCGUAUCACGAGGUGAAGAGAUUGAGACCAUCCUGACCAACAUGGUGAAACUCACCCCCCCCCACCCACUAAAAAUACAAAAAUUAGCUGGGCGUGAUGGCAUGUGCCUGCAGUCCUAGCUACUCAGGAGGCUGGGGCAGGAGAAUCGCUUGAACCCAGGAGGUGGAGGUUGCAGUGAGCUGAGAUUGUGCCACUGCACUCCAGCCUGGCGACAGAGCAAGACUCCAUCUCAAAAAAUAAAAAAUAAAUUCAAAAUGUAAUAAAGACUUAAAUCUAAGACCUCAAACAUGAAACUACUAUAAGAAAACAUUGGGGAAAACCUCCAGGACAGUAGUCUGGCCAAAAAUUUCUUGAGCAAUACCCCACAAGCACAGGCAACCAAAAUAAAACUGGACAAAUAGUAUCACAUCAAGUUUAAAAGCUUCUACAAAGCAAAGGAUACAAUCAAUAAAGAGACAACCCACAGAAUGGGAGAAAAUAUUUGCAAACUACCCAUCUGACAAAGAAAUAAUAACCAGAGUAUAUAAGAAGCUCAAACAACUCUAUAGUAAAAAAAAAAAAAAAAAAAAUUCUAAAAGUCUAAGUAAAAAAAUGGGCAAAAGAUUUGAAUAGACAUUUCUCAAAAGAAGACAUACAGGCCAUGCGUGGUGGCUCAUGCCUGUAAUCCCAGCACUUUGGGAGGCCCAGGCGGGUGGAUCACUUGAGGUCAGGAGUUCGAGACCAGCCUGACCAACAUUGUGAAACUCCGUCUCUACUAAAAAUACAAAAAUAAGCCAGGCAUGGUGGCGCACACCUGUAAUCCCAGCUACUCAGGAGGCUGAGGCAGGAGAAUCGCUUAAACCUGGGAGACAGAGGUUGCAGUAAGCCGAGAUCACACCACUGCACUCCAGCCUGGGCAACAAAGUGAGACUCCGUCUCACAAAAAAAAAAAAAAAAAAAAAAAAAAAAGAAAAGAAAAAGGAAGAAGACAUACAAAGCCAGGUACAGUGGCUUAUGCCUCUAAUCCUAGCACUUUAGGAGGCCAAGGCAGAUGGAAUUGAGCCCAGAAGUUUGAGACCAGACUGAGCAAUAUGGUCAAACCCCAAUUCUGCAAAAUACAAAAAUAAAAAAUAGCUGGGAGUGGUGGUGCACACCUGUAGUCCCAGCUACUUAGGAAGCUGAGAUGGGAGGAUCACUUGAGCCUGCAGUGAAUCAUAAUUGCACCAAUGCACUCCAGCCUGGGCGACAGAGUGAGAGACAUUGUCUCAAAAAAAAGAAAAAGAAAAAAAAGAAAGGACAUAAAAAUGACAAACAGGCAUAUGAAAAGGUGCUGAUGAUUAUUGAUCCUCAGAGAAAUGCAAAUCAAAACUGCAAUGAGAUAUAAUCUCACCCCAGUUAAAAUGGCUUAUAUCCAAAAGACAGGCAAUAACAAAUGCUGGUGAGGAUGUGGAUAAAAGGGAACCCUCGUACACUGUUGAUGGGAAUGUAAAUUAGUACAACCACUAUGGAUAACAGUUUAGAGGUUCCUCAGAAAACUAAAAAUUGAGUUGCGAUAUGAUGCAACAAUCCUACUGCUGGGUAUAUACCCCACAAAAGACAAAACCAGCGUUUUGCAUGGUGGCUCACACCUGUAAUCCCAGCACUAUGGGAGGCCGAGGAGGGCAGAUCACUUGAGCCCAGAAGUUCAAGACCAGCCCGAGCAACAUGGCAAAACCUGAUUUCUACAAAAUACAAAAAAAAAAUUAGGCAGUUGUAGUGGUUCACACCUAUAGUCCUAGCUACUGUGGAGGCUGAGGUAGGAUCACUUGAACCUAGGAGGUGGAGGUUGCAGUGAGCCAAGAUCAUGCCACUGCACUCCAGCCUGGGUGACAAAGUGUGACCCUGUCUCAAAAAAGAAAAUCAGUAUAUGGAAGAGGUAUCUGCACUCCUAUGUUUUUUACAACACUGUUUACAAUAGCUAAGAUUUGGAAGCAACCUAAAUGUCUAACAGCAGAUGAAUGGAUAAGGAAAAUUUGGUAUGUAUACACAAUGAAGUACUAUUCAGCCAUAAAAAGGAAUGAGAUCCAGUCAUUUGCAACAGCAUGGAUGGAAGUGGAGAUCAUUAUGUUAAAUGAAAUAAGCCAGGCACAGAAAGGCAAACAUGGCAUGUUCUCACUUAUUUGUGGGACCUAAAUUCAAAACAAUUGAACUAAUGGACAUAAAGAGUAGAAGAAUGGUUACCAGAGGCUAGGAAUGGUAGUGGGGGGCUGAAGGGAAGGUGGGGAUGUUUAAUCGGUAAAAAAAAAUUUAGAAGAAUAAGACCUACUAUUUGAUAGCACAAUAGGGGGACUAUAGUCAAUAAUGCACAUUUAAAAAUAGUGUAAUUGAAUGGUUUGUAACUCAAAGGAUAAAUGCUUGAGGGAAUGGAUACCCCAUUCUCCAUGAUGUGCUUAUUUCACAUUGCAUACCUGUAUCAAAACAUCUCAUGUACCCCAUAAAUAUAUGCAGCUAUUAUGUACCCAC
rnacentral:lncRNA from 1 species